rnacentral:rRNA from 1 species
GACGAACGCUGGCGGCGUGCUUAAUACAUGCAAGUCGAGCGAGGUUACUGUUUCGGAUCCCUUCGGGGUGAAGAAGCUUUAACCUAGCGGCGGACGGGUGAGUAACGCGUGGGUAACCUACCCCAAAGUCCGGGAUAACAGCGGGAAACCGCUGCUAAUACCGGAUGCCUUUACCUUGGGGCAUCUUGAGGUAAAGAAAGGUAACGCUUUGGGAUGGGCCCGCGUCCCAUUAGUUAGUUGGUGAGGUAACGGCUCACCAAGGCGACGAUGGGUAGCCGGCCUGAGAGGGUGGACGGCCACACUGGGACUGAGACACGGCCCAGACUCCUACGGGAGGCAGCAGUAGGGAAUAUUGCGCAAUGGACGGAAGUCUGACGCAGCGACGCCGCGUGAGCGAUGAAGGUCUUCGGAUCGUAAAGCUCUGUCCUUGGGGAAGAAGGCGAAAGCUUGACGGUACCCAAGAAGAAAGCCCCGGCUAACUACGUG